UGGGAUGAGCUCUUCAGUGACAGCUGCACCUCCAAUCAAGUGACGUCUCUCUAGGACAGCAGUGUUUACUCCCAACUUCUGCAGCUGAGUCCCACAUCACUGGUGAGAUCUUUGCUUAGGUGCAGAGUUGUUGCUGGUUGGAGGCAAGUGAUACUCACUGCAAUCAGUCCAUUGUGUCCUGCAACGAAAAGGUGGGAAAGGGAAGAAGAAGAAGAAAGGGAAUAAAAAAAAGGUGAGUCAGAAGCAAGCAUCAUCCUCAGGGAUUCUGCUGGGCUGCUCUUGUCCCACUCAUCACUAAGGGCUUUAGAAAGAGUCACAGCCAUUACCCUAAUCCAAAGGCAAGAAAAUUGAAUUCUAGUCCAACCCUCUCAUUAUACAGAUGAGGAAACAAUGACAAGGAAUUUAGCACA